CGGGGCUGGUGAGGGGCCUGGGGCUGGUGAGGGGCCUGGGUCUGAGGCCUGAGCCUGGGCCUGCACAGUGGUAGGAAGCACAGGCAGGGCAGAGGGGAUGGCUGGCAAGUGGGGGUGCGGUCAAGUUGGGGGUCUUGGUGGCCAAGUAAAGACAGUGCUUCCGGACGGAGGGGCUUAUCACCUGUGCUGCUGAGGGACAGGGCCGGGGGCUGAAGAUCACGCUUGGAGUGGGGGCUACACACCUGACAGAGGGGGAUGAGGGGGGCCACGGAGGAGGACACCAGGGCUGUGCUCUCACCAGGUCUCCAGGGUCUUGCCAUAAACUGCAGCGAAGACAUAGGAUGCUGGCUGCAGAGGUUUGGGCUGCAGCCUCCUAAAUGUGGGGCCUGUAUCUUUUUAAAAUGAGCCUAGGAUUUGUUGUAAUCAGGGAGGGUAACACACAGACGCAGGAAUGACCGUCUUGUAGGAAGAAAGUUCUUUUAUCCACAGAGAGUGGGGGCUGCUCCACGCAGCUGGGUGGUCGGGGCACAGGAAUGGGCAAGACGUCAGCAUCAAAACUACAGAAAAAGACGCGCUUAGUGAGGUGGUACAACAGCUACCACGACCUCAGCUAAUAAAAAAAUGUGGGCCUUGAAGUGGGGGACCCAUGGCUUGUCACGCUGGUGGGAGGCACCGGG
rnacentral:lncRNA from 1 species